AAAAUUUUUCCUCAUGGUGAAUAAACAAGGGCAGACCCGACUUUCUAAGUACUAUGAACGUGUGGAGAUUAAUAAGCGUACGCUUCUGGAAACAGAAGUCAUAAAGAGCUGUCUCUCUCGAUCCAAUGAACAAGAUCAUUGAAUGCCUUUUCCGUGGAAGAAAUGCCAUAAUCAAAACCUGCAGCUUCAGGAAUUCCCUGGUGGUCCAGCGGUUAGGGCUCUGCACUUUCACUGCUGAGGAUGUGGGUUCUAUCCCUGGUCGGGGAGCUAAGAUGCCACAAGCUGUGCAGCUUGGCCGAAAAACAAACAAACAAACCAAAAACAACUUGCAGGUUCAUUCCCAGUGCUCUUUCAUUGAAUAUAAGGAUUUUAAGCUGAUAUAUCGGCAGUAUGCAGCUCUCUUCAUUGUGGUUGGAGUUAAUGACACUGAGAACGAAAUGGCAAUUUAUGAAUUCAUCCAUAACUUUGUGGAAGUUUUAGACGACUACUUCAGCCGAGUGGACAUAAAUUUGUUCCUUGAAAAAAAAAUUAAAAAUACACAUGAGCAGAAAGAAAGGGCAGAUCACCGGUAAGCAUGCUGUUUAUUGCUACAUACUAUUAGGUACAUUUCCAUUUAGGCUUUAUGUAGCUGUGUGUUAUCUAACUAUAUCUAAAUCCAUCUACAUAUAUACAGGGGAUAAUGCUGUAUAUACCAUUUUAUGACUUGCUUUUUUAUUUACCAGUAUGUCAGGACUUAGGGUACCUAUGUCAUCAUUUAUGGAUUUGCUACAAUUUAUUUAAAUAGUCCCCCCCUUGACAGACACUUAGCUUGUUUUCAGUAAUUUGCUACUAUAAAUAACAUUACCCUGAAUAUCCUAUCACGCAUAGUUGUGCCAUUACCUAAUUGUUUCCUUAGGAUGAACUUCUGGAAGUAAAACUGAUGGAUUCAAACCGUGUGCACAUUAUUACGUUUUUUGAUAUACCUAUCAAAUUACCUAUGAUCUGUAAUGGUUGAAUUAGUUUAUUCCCUCUACACUCUAAAAGUGAAUUGUUCUAGCCUAUAAAAGUCCUCUAAACUGCAGCCUAUUUCUUUUUUUAAAUCACUGUUCCAAACUCCGGGCCUUCCCGCGCUCAGGCUUCUAUGUACAGAGCAGCCUCUCCCACCUGCUUUCAGUCUGGCAGCCAGAGCAGCAGCUGUCUCUGCUAAGUGUAUUGUGUGACAGUGUCUCCUUCUCAUCCUUGAACUCUUUUCUCUUUUCCAGAGUGAAUUAGAUAUAAUGUUUAAUUUGGAUAAAGUACACAUCAUCUUGGAUGAGAUGGUGUUAAACGGCUGCAUAGUGGAAACGAAUCGGGCAAGAAUUCUUGCCCCUCUACUAAUUCUUGAUAAGAUGUCAGACAGCUGAAAAGAGAGAGGCUCUGCCAGACGACAUCGACUUGUAGGAAAUGGGAACACCAUGGAACACCCCUCAGCACCGCUAGCCCAGAAGAAUCUGGAAAACCAAACACUGCAAAACGGGCUGUCCUUCCAAAGACAUUUUAAAUAGGUGUUUCCCACAGUUCCUAAAUGGAAAACAAAACUGUUUUAAAAUAUGACGUACAAAGAAAAUUUUUCUCUAAUCGGAGAGACAAGUUUUAUGUUCUGACCAUAGGUGUUUUUUUUGUCACUCGUUUAGAUUUUGUGGAGUACUGAGGGAAACGUUUUUGGUCUCUGCUUCCCUUUGCAAAUGGAUCAAUUCAGGAAUAGCAGCAUGGGGUGGAAAGAAAAUGUGGCAGCUCUCUACUGGCCAAUAAACUUUUAAAAUUGACUUGAACAUGCAUGGCACUUUGAAUAAUACUCUUUUCUGAAUGCUUUUUCCUUAAAAAGUCAAAAGUUUACUAAACCUGUGCACCUAAUGAAAAUCGCAGAAUCAAGUAUCUUUGCCAGUUUCUAAAAGCCUGGGAUCCACUUUAUGGGUACUUGGCAAUUACGAUGCCAUCGUGUAUUAACUCCAUAGAGAAUGUUACUACCUAAUAAUGAAUGGCUAAACACUGAAAGAUAGCUCUUACAGCUAUCUUACAUGCCACAUUGUAAAGGGUUUGUCUUAUUAGUAAACUUAUUUGUAAAUGAAAUUUAGUUCAAAGUUUAAAAACAGUAUGCAAGAGAGUAUAUCUCUGUUCAGGUUGCCAUGAAAUGACGCCAUCUUCACCUCCCUUUUAUUCCUUCAACCCCUUCUCCUGGAAUGUCUUGAAGCAAAGAAAACUGCUAAAUCACUACAGAAGAGCAAUCCCCUGAUCCUCCCAAACCUGUGUGUGUGUGUGUGUGAGUGUGUGUGUGUGUAUGCUUUUGCUGCUUAGUCAACAGUAGAAGAUACAGAACUGUCUUAGGUAAGCAUGUUCGUGUGCACGUUAGCGGUGGGCGGGCAGGUACAAUGGAGGAAACAGAAAUACAGUCUUGAUACAUGAAGAUAUUUUGUCAUCCUAUGGAAUUCUAAGAGUUCUUUCAUCUACAACACCCUAUCCUCCAAGAGGACAUAAGUGGACAUUCUAGGCACUAAUUCAUUUAGUACUGUUUCUCUCGUGUGUGUGUG